GUAAUACUCCCUCCGUCUGAAAAUACUUGUUAUCAAAAUAUAUAAAAGAGGAUGUAUGUUUAUAUACAUUCCCUUUUAUCCAUUUUGAUGACAAGUAUUUUCGGACGGAUGGAGUAUAAU
rfam:Triticum aestivum genome assembly, contig: Triticum_aestivum_CS42_TGACv1_scaffold_149980_2BS